UUAAAAUUUUCAAGGUCAAGUAAAUCUAUUUGAACGUAUCUCCGCUGCUAUUGUGGUUACGAAGACAAUUCGGUGAGCGUUAUACACCACAUUUCAUUCUUUAUACAGGGCACAUCGUUCGGUUUGCACUAUGUUAACUGUCUUUCCUGUCAAAUCCAGUGCAGUUAUAGUUUUUAAAUUAUCAAUGCCAAAUAAAUCUAACAGAACGUAUCUCCGCUGCAAUUGGGGUUACGAAGACAAUUCGGAGCGCGUUAUACUCCACAUUUCGUUCUUUGUACAGGGCACAUCGUUCGGAUUGCCCUAUGUUAACUGUCUUCCCUGUCAAAUCCAGUGCAAUUAUAGUUUUAAAAUUUUCAAGGUCAAGUAAAUCUAUUUGAACGUACCUCCGCAGCUAUUGCGGUUACGAAGACAAUUCGGAGCGCGUUUUACUCUACAUUUGAUUCUUUAUACAGGGCACAUCGUUCGGUUUGCGCUAUGUUAACGCUCUUGCCUGUCAAUUAUAGUGCAAUUAUAGUUUAAAUUUUUCAAGGCCAAAUAAAUCUAAUUGAUCGUAUCUCCGCCGCCAUUGGAGUUGCGAUGACAUUUCGAUGCGCGUUAUACUCCACAUUUCAUUCUUUAUACAGGGCACAUCGUUCGGAUUGCCCUAUGUUAACUGUCUUCCCUGUCAAAUCCAGUGCAAUUAUAGUUUUAAAAUUUUCAAGGCCAAAUAAAUCUAUAUGAACGUACCUCCGCAGCUAUUGCGGUUACGAAGACGAUUCGGAGCGCGUUUUACUCCACAUUUGAUUCUUUAUACAGGGCACAUCGUUCGGUUUGCCCCAUGUCAACACUCUACCCUGUUAAUUCCAGUGCAAUUAUAGUUUUAAAAUUUUCAAGGCCAAAUAAAUCUAAUUGAUCGUAUCUCCUCCGCCAUUGGGGUUACGAAGACAA